rnacentral:rRNA from 1 species
UUCGGAUCGUAAAGCUCUGUUGUUAGGGAAGAACAAGUGCGAGAGUAACUGCUCGCACCUUGACGGUACCUAACCAGAAAGCCACGGCUAACUACGUGCCAGCAGCCGCGGUAAUACGUAGGUGGCAAGCGUUGUCCGGAAUUAUUGGGCGUAAAGGGCUCGCAGGCGGUUUCUUAAGUCUGAUGUGAAAGCCCCCGGCUCAACCGGGGAGGGUCAUUGGAAACUGGGAAACUUGAGUGCAGAAGAGGAGAGUGGAAUUCCACGUGUAGCGGUGAAAUGCGUAGAGAUGUGGAGGAACACCAGUGGCGAAGGCGACUCUCUGGUCUGUAACUGACGCUGAGGAGCGAAAGCGUGGGGAGCGAACAGGAUUAGAUACCCUGGUAGUCCACGCCGUAAACGAUGAGUGCUAAGUGUUAGGGGGUUUCCGCCCCUUAGUGCUGCAGCUAACGCAUUAAGCACUCCGCCUGGGGAGUACGGUCGCAAGACUGAAACUCAAAGGAAUUGACGGGGGCCCGCACAAGCGGUGGAGCAUGUGGUUUAAUUCGAAGCAACGCGAAGAACCUUACCAGGUCUUGACAUCCUCUGACAACCCUAGAGAUAGGGCUUUCCCUUCGGGGACAGAGUGACAGGUGGUGCAUGGUUGUCGUCAGCUCGUGUCGUGAGAUGUUGGGUUAAGUCCCGCAACGAGCGCAACCCUUGAUCUUAGUUGCCAGCAUUCAGUUGGGCACUCUAAGGUGACUGCCGGUGACAAACCGGAGGAAGGUGGGGAUGACGUCAAAUCAUCAUGCCCCUUAUGACCUGGGCUACACACGUGCUACAAUGGACAGAACAAAGGGCUGCAAGACCGCAAGGUUUAGCCAAUCCCAUAAAUCUGUUCUCAGUUCGGAUCGCAGUCUGCAACUCGACUGCGUGAAGCUGGAAUCGCUAGUAAUCGCGGAUCAGCAUGCCGCGGUGAAUACGUUCCCGGGCCUUGUACACACCGCCCGUCACACCACGAGAGUUUGCAACACCCGAAGUCGGUGAGGUAACCUUUAUGGAGCCAGCCGCCGAAGGGGGGCCUUGAGUCC